GAGCUGAUUUGCAUAUGAAGUCCUUAUACAACAGCCCAGGCUCCUUUAAGGGCAGCUUCCAGGAGCCUAAGAACCAGCCUCUCUUCCAGCUUUCAGAGAUGGAGACAGACACACUCCUGCUAUGGGUGCUGCUGCUCUGGGUUCCAGGUUCCACUGGUGACAUUGUGCUGACCCAGUCUCCUGCUUUGGCUGUGUCUCUAGAGCAGAGAGCCACCAUCUCUUGCAAAACCAGCCAGAAUGUCGAUAAUUAUGGCAUUAGUUAUAUGCACUGGUACCAACAGAAACCAGGACAGCAACCCAAACUCCUCAUCUAUGAAGGAUCCAACUUAGCAUCUGGGAUCCCUGCCAGGUUCAGUGGCAGUGGGUCUGGGACAGACUUCACCCUCACCAUCGAUCCUGUGGAGGCUGAUGAUAUUGCAACCUAUUACUGUCAGCAGAGUAAGGAUUAUCCUCCCACAGUGCUCCAGGGCUGAACAAAAACCUUCUGGGG